rnacentral:rRNA from 1 species
GAUGAACGCUGGCGGCGUGCCUAAUACAUGCAAGUCGAGCGGACAGACGAGGAGCUUGCUCGUCUGACGUGAGCGGCGCGCGUGAGUGUAACACGUGUAUCACGUACCUAUCUUUGUGGUAUAUUCACGGGACAGCGGCUCUAAUACCGGAUAAUAUACUGCUCCGUGUUGGGCGUUAGUAAGUUACGGCUUUUGUGGCAGGUCUCGAUGCAUCUCCGCUGCAUUAGGUGGUUGGUAAGGUAACGGCUUAUCAAGGCAACGAUGCGUAGCCGACCUGAGGGGGUGGUCGGCCACACUGGAACUGAGACGCGGUCCAGACGACUACGGGAGGCAGCAGUAGGGAAUCGGCCGCAAUGGGCGAAAGCCUGACGGAGCAACGCCGCGUGAGUGAUGACGGUCUUCGGAUCGGAAAGCUCUGUUAUUAGGGAAGAACAAAUGUGUAAGGAACUAUGCCCGUCUUGACGGUACCGAAUCAGAAAGCCACGGCUAACUACGUG